GCUCGCCCACGUAGUCCAUCAAGGCCCGGAAGGCAACAGCGGAAUGGUCCGUUGCUGGGACCGCGGGCAGGUCACCAC
rnacentral:SRP_RNA from 15 species